GAAUGAUUCCUGAAGUUUCUGGAAGGCUAUACACGUCUCUUAACAAUUUUUUUUUCACUUCCUCUGACUAAAACCAUGGCCUUUCUACCUAUUAAAGAAGAAACAAAACAACAACGUCAAACCAUGUUGUCUUAUUUUCAGAAGAAUUGGCUCAAAAUGAUUCUAGAAAGUCCUCCCUUGACAAUGAUAAUGACCUCAGAAAUACGGAGAAAAAGAACCAAGCAAUACCACACUCUCCAACAGGAGAACGCCUUCAACCCAUGCUUAGAGGACACUGGUGAGCCCUUCCAACCAAAUCGCUGUGUAACUAGGCCCGGAGGUCUCCGAGGUUUUCCUUUACACCCAAAGGUUUUGGCACAUUAAUCUUUUCAUAGACGUUACACAUACACUCAACAGAUGUUCUUACAAAUAAAUUAUGUGACAGAGUGAGAAACAUGACACUUUUAGGAGAUAAAUAUUAAACAGUCAUAACAAAAUGUGGAGCUGACAGUCCUUGUACUUAUUUGGUGUUAUAGUGAAAAGUCCUAAUUGUUUGGAUUAAUUUUUGCCAGAUGGAAUAUGCAAAAAUGUAGAAAAAUCACUGUACAUGAAGCCAAUUGGUAAAUGUGUUUUUGUUUUUUUUUUUUUUUUUUUUGUGGUUCUAUAGAUGGUGGGCUGUAAUUCCACAAGAAUAUAAACCCUUGGGAAAAUAAAAAGAGAAGAAUUGAGUUCAGUUUAUUGGGAUCUAUCCAAUCUGUAGCAUAUCAUAAUUUUUCAGCAAAUUCCAUGAAGCUACAUUUUUUUUAAAAAAAAAUUCAACUCAAAGGGGAAAUGUAUGUAUUUAUUUUUUCCACUGCUGAUGGUUCAUUUGAGAAUUAGAUUUAUCAUGAGAUAACACUCAACCUUUUAUUGGUCAUCUCAAAGUGAAACACAAACGUGUUAUAAACAAAUCUCCAUUAUUGAAUUAAUAAGUGUCUCACUCUUUACUCUUCUAUUUAGGAGCCUUAACAUCUAUCUGUUGGCACUUCAUCCACUAAUAAGAAGGUGGUUACUUCAUGAUUUUAUAAAUUCAAUACGAUCUAAAUUUCUGGGUUUUGUGUAUUAGUUAUUUUAUUACUCAAUUAAUUUUUAAAAAUAUAGUUUAGUUCACAUAAAAUUCAUGUAAUUGUGAGAUGACCCAGUGAGGAUAUGAAUUCAGGUCCCCAGAAAUUACAUAAGCAGCCCACACACACACACACACAAACACACACACACACACACACACACACACACACAUAUAUAUAUAUCACAUGUACACACACAUAUUCACCGUGCACACUCACAAACACACAUCACCACUCACAAUCACAUUCCCACAAAAUAAAUAAACCGAAACCAAAAAUAAGUUUAGGUCAUUGAAAUUGAAUUUGGAUAGAAAUAUAGAUGGCUAUAAAAAAGGAAGGUUGAUAUUUGGUAAUGGUUAUUAAAACAAUAUUUUCUUAGGAGUUACUUUGUAGGCAUAUUGCACAUCAAAAAAUUUAGCAUUUUCAAGUCCAGUUCUUGAAUUGUUAAAUCUUGAAUGAACUGGAUAUUUACAUUUUAAAUUGGCAUUGUAUUAUAAACCCUACAAAUGGAAAAAAAAAAAAAAAACCAACACCCUAAAAUUGCUGGCCUUAGAGUUGAGGCUUGGAUUCAACUUUUCCAUUUGAAUAGUAAGUGAAAGUAGUGAAUGGGGAUUUUGGAUUAUGCAAUUUCCUAUUCUGCCUAUUGAGCCUUGUAUCAGUAGAUUAAUAUUUUUGCCUUAGAGGCAGACUCUUCUGAAACCUGUUUCCUCCUAUAAACCUGGUUGGUUUGUUUUCCUUUCCAUGGCCAUGAGAAGAAUAGGGUCUUGGUUUGUAGACAAAAUAAAGAUUUAACAAAACCCAAAUCAAAGAUAAGGUAAGUAAGCUGACCUUCUACCAGCAGCAGCGAGGCCUGAGGCCUGAGGCAAGCCAAGGAGAGAUGUGCAGACAAAUCCUAGGUCUCUCAGGUUUGUUUUCCCUUCUGCUUUGAAACUCUUCUUUUCUUGUCCUAUGUAAAAUGAGUAUUUUUUUUUCGCCAAGAAGAUCAC
rnacentral:lncRNA from 1 species